CAAGAAGUAGUUUAAUUAGAAUUUCAGCUUUGGGUGCUGAUGGUGGGGGAAUAUCCUUCCUUCUUGA
rnacentral:tRNA from 1 species